UCCACGCCCCCCCCAAAACCAAACUGUGCUCUAGGCUAUAUGUUCUUCCUCAGACUGUGCCUCUAAAGCCCCUUGACUGUUGCUGCUGUUUGUUCUGCCUCCUGGUGACACAGUCCGCGAGGCCUGCUACAAGCCUCUUUUCCCUACAAAGCAUCCCCUGGGCACUGGCAUUCCUCACUCUGUAACCAGGAUUCUGUUUGGGGAAGAGGAUCACUCUUACGGUAUGGAGAUGAAAAAGCCGUUCAUGGUCUAUGCACCUUAAGAUCUGGCUUUCCCCCAUUUCUUCACAGUGAGGACAGAUCUUAAUUUAACACGCAAACAAGACAAUUGAGUCCCAGAAAAAGCCACAACUCUCUCAAGGUCCAUGGACGGUCGUUAACAAAGUUCUCACUGCUCUUGAUGACAGGUUCUGGGCCGCUUCUGUCUGCGUCUUCUUCCGUAUGCUCACGUACAUUAACAGAAGCUGCUCGGAACAAUGUGGCAUCAAUAUUGGGUAUUUAUUGCCCAGCUCUCAUCUUCUAGCUGUGGCUCAAACCAGGGAUUCUGAAUCAGCACUCACUAUGAUUCCUCGGCUGUGGAGACUACUUCCUAGGAAUGUCACCCCUUCCCUGGCUACGUCCUCAGCCAACCAGAGAGCCGAGGAUCGCCAUCGGCAGCUGGAGGCCUAUGGGGACUUCUUGCCCAUUCAGAGCAGGUGACAGGACAAUGACCAGAAUGGCCACGUGAACAAUUCUGUGUACUACAGCUUCUUCGACACUCUCCUCGGCAGCUACCUGACCAGAUGCUGAUGAAGAGCGGGGAACAGCUGUCAGAGAUCGGGCCCUGCUUACCACAGCGGAGGAACUUAUCCUGAAGUGUGUUCAGGGCCAAACGGUGGAGGAGGCGUGCCAGGCUAGAACUGGGGACUGGCCAGUGAGGGGAGACAGGUGGUGUACAACCCUGUGGGUGAACUGUGAGGUGACACCCGCUUCUUCCACCGGUGCCUGGGGGACAGGGGCUCAGUUGUUAGAGACUCCGGACCUUGUUGGCGAUGGUUUUACUGUCCUGAGGACCGACCACACGAGUUAAGUGUGGGUGAUCCCUCAAGGGGGCAUUUGACAAUAUGCAUAUACUUGGUAUUUGUUGACUGUUCACCCUAAAACACAGUCACUUGUGAGUUGGGUGGGGUGAUGAAGUGCUUGCAGGGCAAGCAAGCUCAAGGACUAGGAGCUGAAAUACUUAAAAGCCCAGCAAGGCUGACAGCUUCCCCUGCCAGAAUCUAGCCAUCCCUGAGCUCCAGGUUCAGUGAGAGACACUGCAUCAAAAGAUAAGAUGGAGAGUGAUGGGGAAGAGCUGAGGUUGACCUCUGACCUCCACACGUGUGUACACACACACACACACACACAGAGAGAGAAAGAGAGAGAUCAUUUGCAUUUUCUCCACUUCUAUCUUAUCCUUGACAGUCAAAUCUGAAGCAAUUUAAAUGGAACAUUUGAAGCUAACAACUUGACUGUUAGGAAGUCCCCCAAAACCAGCCAGGAGACCAAGUUCUGUAUGUAAAAGCAAAGAGCAUUUAUUUUUUUUUCUUGCUACUUUAUGCCAGUUUCCUGGUUUCUUGAUCCUUGUUCCAGAAACUUCUAUUGUUUACAAAGCUGAUUCUAACCUAACAGUACAAUUUUUUUUUCUUUUUUUUUUCCUUUCUUUCUUUCAAGAGCAUUUAUUUUAUGCAAGUUUGCAAACUCAGUCUCUCCGCAUGCCCAACAUAUUGGAAUAAACAGCGAGCCCCGAGCUCAGUUAGAGUUGGUUUUUUUUUUUAAUAGUAGUAAAGGUGGGGGUGAGGGGUUUCUGAGGUUCAGGGCCUCUGAUUGGCUGACAUUUGUGUAGGGAUGUCCUGGUGAGUGUGUGCCGGCAGGUGAUCCUAUCUACAACUCAGAGUCCUACUCUGGCAGGUGGUAAUGGUUGGAAGUAAAGAACUUCCUUUGGGUGGUCUGUUUCUACUUAGCUCCUACAUUGACAUUGUCAAUUUGUUUUCUAAACUCUGUUUAAGCUUUGCCCUUUAGCCUAUGGUGUUAUUAGAACUGAGGCUGAAAUGUACUUGUGCAUUAGUUACUCUUAGACAGUUUCAUCAAACCGUCCGAGAGUGUGAGUAUGGGCAGGGAAGCCGGGAAGCCCCUGAGCUUCAAUGCUCUUGGUUUUGGAGUCUUCUCUAGUAGUUGUAUGUCAGCCCCAGCUGAGGCAACCCAUCUCUUCCUAAGAGACCCUUACAGCAGGGUCCCCUAGGGCGUCUCCAUCUCUGGGAGCUGCACCAUGAGAGUUAGACAGGAAUUGGUGAGGUGUGUGAGGAUGAGGCAGAGUGAAGUGGACCAAGCUAACAAGGAGUUAGACCCUUAAGAGUUAGACUCUCAUUGCUGAGAUGAGGUUAGACCACUAGCCCAGGUGGACUAGGUCAGGAAUAGGAGACUUUUUUAAUAGGUGGCCUCUCAUCUUAAAAGGGGGGGGAGAAGGGAGAAUAGGAGACAAUAAAGGAGAAGAACACAUCCCAAAGAGUCCAGGACAGACCCCUGCGCGGAGAAGAGCGCAGAACGAGAGGAGCAUGGGGUGCCGGCUGCUGUGGUGGUGCCUCAGCUUUUAUCAGAUACACCUGCGCCAAUAGCCCUGUGGUCUCAGCCUCAGGGUUUUUAAUUCAUCCUAAAGAUUGUUUUGUAGCGCCAUAUGACAAGUGUGAUGGCUGACUGUACUGUCCACUAAGUGCAGAGAUGGUCAGCGCAGAUGUCCCAAAGCCAGAGUAGAUGGAUGGUCGGAGGAGUCGGCAAUUCCUGAAGCGUCUUUUCUAACAGCUACGGACGUGACAUCUGGAAUGUGUCAAUAAGGACCAGGCAGGAAAACACGAUCCUCUCAACAUGGAGAUUUGAUGAUAUAGGUGUUGGAAGGAGUCAAAGAGCAAGAGGAGCUAGCAGUACUGUGCGGGGAUUAGCAUCUAUAGUGUUCUUGUGUUUAGGGCUGGAGACUGAUACAGAGUGGCCAGGAGUAUGGAGGACGGGAGCCCAGAUGGUGCUGAGAUACUGGAGCACCAAGGACAAGGAAACUGCCACAGGUUCAGUCUGGGUGGGAUGGAGAAACCUGUAAAAGCUGUUGUAAGGCCUGUGGCAGAAGGGUAGCAGACAGAGCUCGGAGAAGGAAGAGUUCAUUAGGAAAGGAAAAGCCUUGUCUCCAAUCCUCCUGCCUUCUAACCAUCCAGGAUCGCCCGCCCAGGAAACCAAAUGGGAAGAAUCUAGAAAAAGAGUCAUGUUCUGGGACUCCCAGAGUCAAGGCAGAGCAUGGAGAGGUGGGACCCAGGCUUGGGAUCCGCAGGAGGAUGACAGCCCAGUGGCACAAGGUGGUUUUGCAUCCUGCAGUCUCCUUUGCAGCACAUAACACCUCCAGAGAGUGUCGUUAGUCACAGGGAGCAUGUCUCUCCUUCCUUGGCUAGACUCCUGCCUCUGCUCAUUCUCCAGGCUAAGCUCACCCUUGCCUGACUGUUUCACUUUGUUCAGACUUCUCCUUACCUUUCUCCAGGCUGGGACAGGGGAAGGAGGAGGAACAGGCAACUUGUUGACUUAAUCUGAACCUGUUUGCUUUGUGUUUUUCCUAGCAUGGUGUGUGGAUUGAUUAUAUCUAUAUUUUAUUUUACUUGUUAGCAGAAUGUAAACAAACAGAAGAAAAUCUGCUUUAUUUCGCCUACGGGGAGCCGCCUUGCUUCACCGAGAGACAGCAUGACCGCUCUAGGCGGGCCAUCUGCUCCCUGCUCUUUCGUUAGCUUUGUGGCUCAAAGAACAUGUUCUCUGCCUCAGUUUCCUCACUGGAUUAAAAGAGUCAAGAAGAGUGAGCUUCACUGGUGAUGACCAGUGUUUUUUGGUGAUGAAGCAGAGUCCGACCACAUCCUAACUUGUCUUUUGACUCAGGGGAAUUGAAUGGCUUACUGUUCUGUUACAACCUGAGAGAUACGGGGAAGGGGGAGGGAGGGCUAGGGAUGUUUGAGUGAGCCGCUCAU